GACGAACGCUGGCGGCGUGCUUAACACAUGCAAGUCGAACGGGCCUGUCUUCUUUUUUGGGGGGUGGGUUGAGUGGCGAACGGGUGAGUAUCACGUGAGUAACCUGCCCUUCGGUCCUGGAUAACCGCUUGAAAGGGCGGCUAAUACGGGGUGGUCCGGUUGGUCCGCAUGGGCUGGUCGGGAUAGAUUCACUGUUUUUGGUGUUUCGGCGGGGGAUGGGCUCGCGGCCUAUCAGCUUGUUGGUGGGGUGAUGGCCUACCAAGGCGGUGACGGGUAGCCGGACUGAGAGGGUGGGCGGCCACACUGGGACUGAGAUACGGCCCAGACUCCUGCGGGAGGCAGCAGUGGGGGGUAUUGCACAAUGGGCGGAAGCCUGAUGCAGCGACGUCGCGUGAGGGAUGGAGGCCUUCGGGUUGUGAACCUCUGUUUCCGGUGGUGAAGGCCCUGUCCGUGUGGUGGGGUUGACGGUAGCCGGGGAUGAAGCGCCGGCUAACUACGUG
rnacentral:rRNA from 1 species